GAGUCUCGACUGUAUUAGAAUACUAUGUAUCGAAUCAUGGACUACACGUCUGACUCCAUCACCGCUUAUAUGGUGAGCCACACCAUUAACAAAGCUUCUUUUGAGUCUCGGACUUGCAGGCAAAUAAGAAGGCAUGGGUUGCUGCUGCUUCUGAGAUCUGUAGUCGAACGCCCAAAGAGUUUACAUGCUGGAAUGAAUGACCUCCUUGACGCCAGAGUGUUUUCUUCUCUUCCUUUGGCUGAGAUGAUGAAGUGUUUGAGCUGCAGUUGUGGGAGUGGUUUCUCUUCCUUCCUCUGAGAUGUAAGAAGGAAGAAGCAAUCCCACCGACAGAUGCCUUAAUUCUUCUGUGUUCGAAGUCGGGUGGACGAGAAACUGGUUCAAAGAACAUGUUCGACCGACGAUUACUCGUGAAGAGAAGAGCCGUAGCUUUCUUUGGAGAAGUCCACGCACGCGUCAGACAGUAGGACUUGACUCGGUCAGACACGUCUCCCACGACUUCUAUGCUCUUUCCCGCUUUGUUCUCUUUUCAUUUUCUUGUUUCAGGUGGCUGCCGUGUUCUCGCAUUGAAUAGUUUUGGCUGCCGCUAAAGUCUCCACUGCCAUUUCACACACUCCGUCGGUGAUUCCAAGCGGUGGAGUUGAACGCAGAUGCUUCCGCUAGACGUCCGUCAAAGCUGAAAGCAAAACAACAACAUACAUGAAGGAAGCAGUUGAAGCCAGCACGGCCAAACGCAGGACUUUUCCCAUCCUUCUUCCUCUUCAAAGCGAGUGGAAGGCCCUCACACGACCAGUGUAAUCAGCUCAUGUUGAAGAAUGUUGCUCAGAUCACGACCAGUGUCCACAGAUUAUAGCAAUUCAAGAACACAUGUGAUGACUCAACGCAAAUCACCAGUAUUAAAUACUGCAAGAUUUCCUGGUACCUUCCUUUUUCGUCACAUGGUGUAGCACUUUAUCGUCCUGCCGAUGAUCUGUCUUUGACUUUUCAUAAAUGUCAAAAUAUUGGAAACCUGCUUCGGCCAGCACGCGACGGGAACACAUGAUAAAGAAAACAAGGGUACAGAUGGAUGAGAUCAAGUGGACUCCUCCU
rnacentral:lncRNA from 1 species